AACCUGGUUGAUCCUGCCAGUAGUCAUAUGCUUGUCUCAAAGACUAAGCCAUGCAUGUCUAAGUAUAAGUAUUAUACAGCGAAACUGCGAAUGGCUCAUUAAAACAGUUAUAGUUUAUUUGAUAAUCGAAUUUACAUGGAUAACCGUGGUAAUUCUAGAGCUAAUACAUGCUGGUGUGCCCGACUUUUGCGGAAGGGCGGUAUUUAUUAGAUAACAAGCCAAUAUUCCUCUGGUCUAUUGUGGUGACUCAUAAUAACUGAUCGAAUCGCAAGGCCUUUGGCCGCGAUAAGUCAUUCAAGUUUCUGCCCCAUCAGCUUUCGAUGGUAGUGUAUUGGACUACCAUGGCGUUUACGGGUAACGGAGGAUUAGGGUUCGAUUCCGGAGAGGGAGCCUGAGAAACGGCUACCACAUCUAAGGAAGGCAGCAGGCGCGUAAAUUACCCAAUCCUGACUCAGGGAGGUAGUGACAAGAAAUAACGGACCGAAGCCUUCGGGCUUCGGGAUUGGAAUGAGC
rnacentral:rRNA from 1 species